AAUCUAUGAUGUGGGCAUCUUUAAGAUACUCCUUGAAUCUUUCUCAUUAUUCAAACAUUGAUUCAUUAUCCAUCUAUAUAAAAUUAGUAACAUUGUUACACAUU
rfam:Eucalyptus grandis cultivar BRASTZ1 unplaced genomic scaffold scaffold_1498, whole genome shotgun sequence.